AUUGAACGCUGGCGGAAUGCUUUACACAUGCAAGUCGAACGGCAGCACGGGGGCAACCCUGGUGGCGAGUGGCGAACGGGUGAGUAAUACAUCGGAACGUGCCCAGUCGUGGGGGAUAACGUAGCGAAAGUUACGCUAAUACCGCAUACGAUCUACGGAUGAAAGCGGGGGACCGUAAGGCCUCGCGCGAUUGGAGCGGCCGAUGUCAGAUUAGGUAGUUGGUAAGGUAAAGGCUCACCAAGCCGACGAUCUGUAGCUGGUCUGAGAGGACGACCAGCCACACUGGGACUGAGACACGGCCCAGACUCCUACGGGAGGCAGCAGUGGGGAAUUUUGGACAAUGGGCGCAAGCCUGAUCCAGCCAUUCCGCGUGCAGGACGAAGGCCUUCGGGUUGUAAACUGCUUUUGUACGGAACGAAAAGGCUCUGGUUAAUACCUGGGGCUCAUGACGGUACCGUAAGAAUAAGCACCGGCUAACUACGUGCCAGCCGCCGCCGUAAUAC
rnacentral:rRNA from 1 species